rnacentral:rRNA from 1 species
GUGCCAGCAGCCGCGGUAAUACGGAGGGUGCAAACGUUGCUCGGAAUUAUUGGGCGUAAAGCGCACGUAGGCGGUCCAGCAAGUCGGGUGUGAAAGCCCUCGGCUUAACCGGGGAAGUGCAUUCGAAACUACUGGGCUUGAGUACUGAAGAGGAUCGCGGAAUUCCCGGUGUAGAGGUGAAAUUCGUAGAUAUCGGGAGGAACACCAGUGGCGAAGGCGGCGAUCUGGGCAGAUACUGACGCUGAUGUGCGAAAGCGUGGGGAGCAAACAGGAUUAGAAACCCCGGUAGUCC